rnacentral:rRNA from 1 species
UACGUAGGAGGCGAGCGUUGUCCGGAUUUACUGGGCGUAAAGGGCGCGUAGGCGGCCAGCACAAGUCAGUUGUGAAAUCUCCGAGCUUAACUCGGAAAGGUCAACUGAUACUGUGCGGCUAGAGUGCGGAAGGGGCAACUGGAAUUCUUGGUGUAGCGGUGAAAUGCGUAGAUAUCAAGAGGAACACCUGCGGCGAAGGCGGGUUGCUGGGCCGACACUGACGCUGAGGCGCGAAAGCUAGGGGAGCGAACGGG